GUUCGGCGGGGGGGUGGACCGAGGGGGGGGAGGCGCCUCUCCUUCCACGCCCGCGGCCCAACGGGUCACGGCCGGGGUCGGCGAGAGAGGCGGCGAAGGCCGGGACGCUCCCGGAGCCUCAGUCGCCCCGUCUCCGAAACGGGGACCGAGGGCGUAUCUAGCCCCGGAAAGCCUUCCUCCUCGGGAUCCGGGACGCUUGCCCGGCGCCCGGUCCCGGCUCCCCUCCCCGCCCGCGAGGGGUCUCGGCCGCGGAGGCGACGGGCGAGAGGACCCGGGCGGACCCCCCCGCCCCGAGGGGAAGGAGGCUCGCCGAAGGGUUAGGCGGCGGGGCGGGUGGUUGUCCCCGGCCCAAGGCCCCUCCUCCGUCGCAGCGGACGAAGGCGGUGUCCACGGAGCGGACUGGUGCUUCCGGCCACCGAGGAGGGGGGGCUGCGCCCUGCCGCUCGCCCACAGGAUCACCAAGCAGAUCUGCUGCUGCAGCCGCGUGGGCAAGGGCGGGGGGCGGGCUGCCACAGGUGCCCCCCGCCCGACUCAGCGGACUUCAGGGAGAUCUGCCCGGCCGGCCCCGGCUACACCUACUCCGGCACGGACAUUCGGCUGGCCCUGAGGAGAACCGGAGAGGAGGAGCAGAAGGAGGAGGAGGAGGAGAAGAAGAAGGAGGAGGAGGAGGGCGAGAGUCUUCUGCCGCCGGAGACCACGGCCUCCGUCGAGGACACGCAAGGCGAGCCGGGAAGCCGUCGAGGACUCCGGCCAGACGACCGCGCCCACCGACGGAGCCCCCAGAAGCCUGGGCACCCACGCGGAGCGCCGCCCAGGUGACCCUGGAAUCCAGGGAGGAGGAGAAGGAAAGGAGGUGGUGGGGAGGUGGAGGAGGAGACCAUCUCCGUGCCGAACGAGGUAGCGACGCCCGCCCCAGACCGAGAUGA
rnacentral:lncRNA from 1 species